AGCAAAGGAUUCUUUUGC
rnacentral:piRNA from 1 species